ACUCCUACGGGAGGCAGCAGUGGGGAAUCUUGCACAAUGGGGGCAACCCUGAUCCAGCCAUGCCGCGUGAGCGAUGAAGGCCUUAGGGUUGUAAAGCUCUUUCAGCGGGGAAGAUAAUGACGGUACCCGCAGAAGAAGCCCCGGCUAACUCCGUGCCAGCAGCCGCGGUAAU
rnacentral:rRNA from 1 species